UCCGCGGCCAGCGCCGAUUUGAUGUCCAGCUUGCGGGCGCUAAACAAAUGCCGCUAAAGAGACGCGCUUGAACGCCC
rnacentral:ncRNA from 2 species